GACGAACGCUGGCGGCGUGCCUAAUACAUGCAAGUAGAACGCUGAAGGAGGAGCUUGCUUCUCUGGAUGAGUUGCGAACGGGUGAGUAACGCGUAGGUAACCUGCCUGGUAGCGGGGGAUAACUAUUGGAAACGAUAGCUAAUACCGCAUAAUAGUAGAUGUUGCAUGACAUUUGCUUAAAAGGUGCAAUUGCAUCACUACCAGAUGGACCUGCGUUGUAUUAGCUAGUUGGUGGGGUAACGGCUCACCAAGGCGACGAUACAUAGCCGACCUGAGAGGGUGAUCGGCCACACUGGGACUGAGACACGGCCCAGACUCCUACGGGAGGCAGCAGUAGGGAAUCUUCGGCAAUGGACGGAAGUCUGACCAAGCAACGCCGCGUGAGUGAAGAAGGUUUUCGGAUCGUAAAGCUCUGUUGUAAGAGAAGAACGAGUGUGAGAGUGGAAAGUUCACACUGUGACGGUAUCUUACCAGAAAGGGACGGCUAACUACGUG
rnacentral:rRNA from 1 species